CACGUAGGGGGCAAGCGUUGUCCGGAUUUAUUGGGCGUAAAGAGCUCGUAGGCGGCUCAGUAAGUCGGGUGUGAAACCUCCAGGCUCAACCUGGAGACGCCACCUGAUACUGCUGUGGCUAGAGUCCGGUAGGGGAGCGUGGAAUUCCUGGUGUAGCGGUGAAAUGCGCAGAUAUCAGGAGGAACACCAGCGGCGAAGGCGGCGCUCUGGGCCGGAACUGACGUUGAGGAGCGAAAGCGUGGGUAGCAAACAGG
rnacentral:rRNA from 1 species